UUCUGCACAGCUCAUUAGAGAAGAGCUGUCACUGGACCCCUUUGCAGAAAAGAAGACCAAUAAAAGACACUGCUGUGGAAUAUUUCACACAGCAUCUCUCCUCUCUUCUCUUGCCACAUCUACUGAAUGCCUGCUGCAUGCCCCAGCCGAGCCUAGCAAGCCCAAGAGCUGAAAUCACUAGUGAGCUGAAAAUCACAAAAGCUGAAUAUCACUAAAAGGCUUGCUAAGGCGAAGGUUGGAAGGUGCUGCUAGAGCUUGGGCAGGCAGCGCUUAUCAGAGCUGAGCUAUCCAGCUUUUAAUGCAGCUAUCUGGGAAGACCCCCGCAACCCAGCAAGCGGCAUUUAAAUUUGACACACCGAACAGGGAGUAAUACCCUGGAGAGCAGCAUUUCUUCCUGAAAUAGUACUGCCUUUGGAUCGUCAAACCCUAGAAGAAGUAAGACCUCCAUUUUAGAAGGACUGCUUCAGAGGGGCUCUCAGUCGACCCUCACUUUGACAGCUGGACAAGUGCCCGAGGAGACUGAAAUGGCAAGACCACCUACCAGCAGUCCUUUGACCCACAUCUGGCUGAAGAAGUGGAACUCCAAUUGCACAGGCCUUUCUACUCCCAAAGAAUCACAGGGAGCAGCUUCCUCUGAACCCUACAGCAAUGUGGGCACAAUUUGUGGGACCAAGUAAACCUACCAUUGAAUGUGGUCUCACCUGCAGAGCAGGAAAGAUCCAUCUGCCAGGGAUGCUGGACACCGGUGCUGAUGUGACCAUCAUCACUGGCUCAGAAUGGCCAGCACACUGGGAACUACAGCCACUACCAGGCAUGAUUUCAGGGAUUGGUAGAGCCACAGUGUCUACGCAGAGCAAGAACAACGUCCUCGUCGAAGGGCCUGAAGGCAAGCUGGCAACCAUCCGCCCAUUCGUGGUAAGGGUCACCAUCACCCUUUGAGGAAGGGACUAUCUUCUAUCCCAAUGGGGGGCUUCCCUACGUAUUCCCAGUCGGGAUUUCUAAUUGGGGCCACUGAGGAGCACGCACUGCCAGAUACUCCUCGGCUCACCUGGAAAUGCCAUGACCCGAUCUGGAUCGAGCAGUGGCCCCUUUCUGAAGUAAAGCUGCGUGCACUACAAGCUCUCAUGGAAGAACAGCUAACCAAAGGCCACAUCAUUGAGACCACCAGCCCUUGGAACUCUCCAGUCUUUGUACUGAAAAAGCCUGGAACGGACAGGUGGAGGCUCCUCCAUGACCUUCACAAAAUCAACAAAGUCGUCGAGGACAUGGGCCCCUUACAGCCUGGCCUGCCCUCCCCCUCGAUGCUGGCUAGAGACUGGACACUUGCUAUCAUAGACAUUAAAGACUGUUUCUUCAGCAUACCUUUGCAUCCUCUGGACGCUCCGCGGUUUGCCUUCUCCGUUCUCUCUCUUAACAGAGAGGCUCCACUUAAAAGGUAUCAUUGGUGUUUUCUACCUCAAGGACUAAAAAACAGCCCAACUAUAUGGCAGUGGUAUGUUGCUCAUAUCCUGUCUCCCAUUCGGAACCUAUUCCAAGAUGCAAUCAUCCACCACUAUAUGGAUGAUAUCCUGGUUUGUGCAUCAGAAAAAGCUUACCUGGACAAAGCAGUUAAAAAGACUAUUGAAACCAUAGAAAAGGCAGGAUCCGAGAUCCCUGAGGACAAAAUACAGUACACCAACCCAUGGACUUAAAUUGGAUUCCAGAUCCGGGAAAGGACCAUCGUACCCCAGCAGCUCUCCAUCCGAGACGACCCAAAAACCCUGAGAGAUUUACACAGUCUGUGUGGAUCCAUUAACUGGGUGAGUCCUCUGCUAGGAAUCACAACAGAGGACCUCGCUCCCCUGUUCAACCUUCUCCGUGGCCACGAGGAUCUGGACUCUACAUGCACUCUCACAACAGAGGCCCAAGAUGCCAUCACCAAGGUCCAAGAAGCCCUGUCUUCACACAAAGCUCAUCGCUUCAAGCCCAGCCUGCCCUUCCAGUUCGUCAUUUUGGGAAAAGCACCUCAGUUCUAUGGACUGAUUUUCCAGUGUGUCACUCAAUUUCAAGACCCUUUGCUGAUCCUAGAGUGGAUCUUUACAAAUAACCAACCUAAAAAGACAAUUACCACCUUCUAAGAAACCACGGCACAUCUCAUAAAAAAGGCUAGAUCUCGCCUCCGGUCUCUUGCAGGGUGUGAGUUCACAUGCAUAUACUUGCCACUGACCACUGGGGACCUGGAGCAUUUGCUUCAGACCAAUGAGAGUCUCCAGUUUGCCCUAGAUAGCUAUACAGGCCAAAUUUCAGUUCAUAUCCCAAAACACAAACUUUUUAAUCGGGAUGUGACCUUUCAUCUGACCCCAAAAUUAGACCAAAGUAGGACACCUCUCAAAGCUCUAACCAUCUUUACAGAUGGCUCAGGGUCAUCCCACAAGUCGGUAAUGACAUGGAAAGACCCUAUUACCCAAAAAUGGGAAUCUAAUAGUGAAAUAGUGGAGGGAUCUCCACAGAUUGCAGAGUUAGCAGCUGUUGUCCGAGCCUUUGAGAAAUUCAAAGAUAAACCCUUUAAUUUGGUCACAGAUUCAGCUUAUGUUGCUGGUAUAGCUAUGAGAGCAGAACAUGCUCUUCUCAAAGAUCUUCCUAACCAAAAGUUACACCAAUUGAUUUCUGCAUUAACACGCCUAAUUUCCAACAGAAAGCGACCCUAUCAUAUAAUGCAUGUGAGGUCACACACCAACCUCCCAGGUAUCAUCACAGAAGGUAACAGGAAAGCAGAUGCAUUAGCCAUGGCAGUAGAAAUUGCUAAUGUCCCUAACAUCUUUGCCCAGGCAAAGUUGUCACAUUCAUUUUUUCAUCAAAAUGUACCUUCCCUUAUCAGAAUGUUCAAGCUUUCAAAAGAACAGACGAAAGCUAUUGUUGCCACAUGCCCGAGCUGUCAAAACUACCAGAUACCAUCUGUGGGGACGGGAGUCAAUCCCCGAGGUCUGAACAGCUGCCAGCUGCGGCAGACAGAUGUAACUCACUUCACACCCUUUGGAAGGUCAAAAUACGUGCUUGUAUCGGUCAACACAUUUUCAGGAGCAGUGUUUGCAUCAUGACAUACAGGAGAAACUGCACAGCACACCAUAAAGCACUUCCUCCUUGCCUUCGCUACCCUGGGAGUACUAAAGGAGAUCAAAACAGACAAUGGACCUGCCUAUACCUCUCGUAAGCUAAAAGAGUUCUUCAGUGAGUGGGGAAUAGAAUGCAAGACAGGCAUACCUGCAAACCCUACAGGACAAUCCAUCGUAGAACAGACACAUCAAACCCUCAAAAGAGUCCUCAACUAGCAGCGAGGAGAAACAAUGCCAUAUCUCCAGCUGAAAGACUUUGCAAGGCUCUCUAUGUCAUCAUCUUCCUAAACUGUACAACAUCUGAGCCUGACCCGCCAAUACUUCAGCACUUUGCAAAUACCACCCAAGCAAAGCUCACUGAGAAACCAUUCCUGGGCACUGCGAACACUACCUCUACUAACACUGACAAGAAUUCAGUGUUAGUAGAGUCAAACUGAGUCAAACACAAGUCCUCCUCAAAAUCAAACAAGUUCUGCCUGGAGAUGAAGACGUCGCCGAAUCUCCACAGACAUAGGGAAAGACCGUCCCAUCAUGCGAGAGCAGACAAUAUAGAAAGCUGAAUAACAUUCUGCUGCAUUAAGCCAGAAGUUAGAGGUAGUCUGAACACAAAAUUGUUCUCUGAAUUUUAUGUUUUUACCCCUCUAUACCCUAAAAAACCUUAUUAUUCCAUUUUCUUGUCUCUUAUCAAAAAACCUAUACCCACUCCCCCAUCCUUAGCUUAUUAGAAAAAAAAAAAAAAUAAAAGGGGGCGGGAAAGGAACAAGGGAGAAAACCCUAACCCUCUCACCACAAAGAUAACGAAUUUUGCUUAUAUUCCCUAUCAGAAGCCCCAUUCCUGUCCAAAGAUGAAAAAUAUCUCCGUUGGUGCUGUCCUUACUGCUGCCUGGAUGCUCUUCACCAUACCGUAUGCUAUCUAUUAGAUUAGCCCACAGCCUAGCCAUAAUGUUUGGGUAACCUUAGCAAAAACAUUAAAAUAGGAUAACAUGUGUUUAUCCAUGGGAAGUGUUGAUAACCCACUUUCCACGUCUAGUAGGAAUUCCCUUCGCAGCCGAUGACUAGCCCAUCUAUAACACAGAGCUCCUCUGCACCACAGGUAAGAGACCCAACCUGGUAGAUACUUGGGAUGAGUGGACAAAAAUGUUGCCCAAUGCUCUAGAGGAACCCCAAGAAUUGGACUUGUUGGGGUCCUCCAAGGCAAUGUACUGUGUCAAAUUUUACUUCAGACGCCCGAAAAAUAAUUGGCCAGAAACUGACCAGACCAAAAACACAUACCGAAAAGACAUAUAACCCAUUAACAAAGCCUACAACCCUCCCGAUUGGUGUAAUUACACUGCUCGUGUGAUGUCUGUGUCCUCUCUCAAUCCCAAAGUAUUACCCAAGGGAACGUUUCUCAUCUGUGGUGACAGAGUGUGGGCUGGGAUUCCCUCUCGACUCCAGGGAGGUCCCUGUACCCUCGGGAGACUUUCUACCCUCACUCUAAAUAUCACCUUGUUACAUAAUUGGAAAAAAGAAAAUGAAUUAAAAUGCCACAAAAGAUCCUACACAGAAUUUGAUGAAAAUUGCGAUCCCAGAUUAUACGAUUGGAACAAACCAAAAGAUUGCUGUCUCCCUAUUCCUACCAUGGGUAGCUGCAGCCAAGGCCCUAGGUGAAAUAAAUCACCUCAGGUGCUGGCUCAGUAAGCAGGCCAAUGCUGCAUCUGCAGCCCUGAGCGAUAUCUUAAAGGAAGAAGAAACCACAAGACAUGCAUCACUCAAAAAUCGAGCAGCAAUUGACUUCCUGUUGCUGGCCCACGGACACAGCUGCGAAGACUUCGAAGGGAUGUGCUGCUUCAACCUCUCUUCACGCUCGGAAUCCAUCCACGCGAACGUCCAGAAACUGAAGGAUCUUGUGAAGGACUUAAAAGUAGAAAACAACCCAGACUGGGUUAUUGACCUGUUCGGUCAAUGGGGAUUAACAGGAUGGGUUGCAUCUUUGGUUAAGGGAAUGUUGUGGAUUUUCCUUGUGCUUAUCAUUGUAUUAGCCAUGUUCUCAUGCCUUGUUCAUUGUUUCAAAAGAGCUAUAGGGAACGCCUUUUUUCUAAAUACAGAAAGUGGAGUUGUAGCAGGCACAGACCCUGCAAACCUGCCUUGGUGUUCGGCAGCCUAAGAUAGGCAAAAUGCUGAGUCAUGAUGACUGGACCUUAGGAGCCCCUCUCUCUCGCUCUUGGACCCUUGCUUAUCUCUCUGUAAGGCUAUAGGUCACUUUCCUUUAACCCUUACCAUUGGACGAUUCUCAAUCCCCUUUUGCCCUAUAUAAACCCCUGUUUCUGCACAGCUCAUUAGAGAAGAGCUGUCACUGGACCCCUUUGCAGAAAAGAAGAUAAUAAAAGACAUCGCUGUGGAAUAUUUCACAUAGCAUCUCUCCUCUCUUCUCUUGCCACAUCUACCAAAUGCCUGCUGCAUGCCCCAGCCAAACCUAGCAAGCCCAAGAGCUUAGAAAUUAUUUGUAAGAAGAAAGAAGAACUGCUAUAAUAUUAUCUUACAGAACCAGUCUAAAUUUCCAGUAGAUUAUGGCAAACAGCCAGACCUUUACACUUUGUCAGGCAGUGAUUCUCUACAUGCCAAACUCUGUGGUUUAUAUCCAGGUUUUUUUCCCCACUCUUCUACAUUUCAGAAGUGUUCCAUCUCCUGGACAAAGACAAGAAUGGAGUCAUCCAGAUCUCUCUGCCUGAGUGGCUGUGCUGCACACUGGUUUGAACCAUGGUCAAUCAAUUCAGCAGAGACCUCUGAGGCUCUUCUGAGCAUGAAACCACUUGUUUGGCAUCUCCUUGUUAUGAAAAAAAGAAAGAGAAACUUCUUUUUAUUCCUGGCAAGUUACUUUAGGCCAAUAAAAAUGAUCACCUGUCAGUUAUAAAAUAAAUGAAGUCUUAAACAAACAAA